GUGAACCUCGCCCGAGAGCUCCAUUAAUAAAGCAGGUCGCCUCUGACCAUUAGUCACCUAAAUUCUGUGCGGUAGUUCUCAUUGGAUACCUGUCUUCCCAAGCCGGACAUUGGUGCCAAAACCCGGGAGGAGACCCCUCUCUGACCCAGGGUCGGGGAGCAUCUCCUCUCCCUACCUGCCAGGAACCAGACUCGGGCCAGCGCAUUCGGCCUUUGCUAUUGGAUGGGACAUUGGAAGUCUGAGUGCCCCAGCGUCGGAGCGUCCACAGUGCCUCUACGCUGUGAAAACUCCGAGACGACCGGUGGCGCCUUCCAAUUACUCAGCAUGGACGACGACUGAAGAGGCCCAGACUCGGGAACCCCCCUCACUCUUGCCGAGCCCAGGGUAACGCUCCAGGUAGCAGAUACCUUCACAGGCUGGAUUGAGGCCUUUCCCACUGCACGUGAGACAGGAGAAGUCGCAGUCUCUGUCCUGCUAGAACAUAUCAUCCCUCGCUUUGGACUUCCCCGAUCCCUGCAAUCAGACAACGGCCCCGCGUUCGUCUCAAAAAUCACUCAGCAAGUAUCCGAGUCGCUCCGCGUCACAUGGAAGCUCCAUAUCCCUUACCGCCCUCAAUCCUCUGGUAAAGUAGAAAGGGCUAACAGCCUCCUCAAAGAACACCUUACAAAACUUACUCUUGAAACAAAGCUGUCGUGGGUCACCCUCCUACCAUUGGCCCUGACCCGCCUCCGGGCAGCUCCCAGGGGCCCCACAGGGCUCAGCCCCUUCGAACUUCUCUACGGACGCCCCUUCCUACUUCCUGGUCUUCCCCCCACUGUUUCGCCCCCUCCCCUCGCGUCCUAUCUUCCUUAUCUGACCCUCCUUCGCGACCUUCUCCGCAAGCACGCGGACGCCUGCCUCCCCGAACCUACCCCCUCCUCCCCGGACGCCCCUGUUGUGCUCUCUCCAGGUGAUAGUGUCCUCCUUAAGGAACUACAGUCCAAGACCUUGACCCCGCGGUGGUCAGGCCCUUACACCGUGAUCCUCACCACUCCGAGGGCCACUAAGUUACUAGGUCUACCAUCCUGGUAUCAUUUGUCACAGUUGAAGAAAGCACCGACUCAGCACGACUGGUCCUCAAAACUCACCCCAACCCGGCUUCGUAUCACCCAUGGCCAGACCUUCCCCACUAUGCCUCCUACUCCUCCUGACCCUCCUAACCCCCAUAGUGCCCAGUAACUCCCUCCUAACUGAACCCCCGUUCCGAUGGAGGUUCUACCUGCAUGAGACUUGGACCCAAGGCAACCGGCUCUCCACUGUCACACUGGCAACGGUGGACUGCCAACCUCACGGUUGUCAGGCCCAAGUAACUUUUAACUUCACUUCCUUUAAAAGUGUUCUGCGGGGCUGGUCCAAUCCCACCAUCUGCUUUGUCUAUGAUCAAACACACAGCAACUGCCGCGACUAUUGGGUGGACACAAACGGAGGAUGCCCCUAUGCCUAUUGUCGUAUGCAUGUGACCCAGCUCCAUACCGCCAAGAAACUCCAACACACCUAUCGCCUGACAUCUGAUGGAAGGACAACUUACUUCCUGACCAUCCCAGACCCAUGGGAUUCUCGGUGGGUCAGUGGAGUCACUGGUCGACUGUACCGGUGGCCCACCGACUCCUACCCAGUUGGCAAACUCCGGAUAUUCCUGACUUAUAUACGAGUUAUCCCCCAGGUUUUGUCUAAUUUAAAGGACCAAGCAGACAACAUUAAGCAUCAGGAAGAGGUCAUCAAUACUUUGGUGCAGUCCCAUCCGAAGGCUGACAUGGUCACCUAUGAUGACAAGGCUGAGGCAGGACCGUUUUCAUGGAUAACCCUAGUCCGCCACGGGGCUCGCCUUGUUAAUAUGGCAGGCCUAGUUAAUCUCUCCCACUGUUUCCUUUGCACCGCCCUCAGCCAACCACCACUAGUAGCUGUACCCCUACCCCAGGCUUUUAACACCUCUGGUAACCACACUGCCCACCCUUCCGGCGUCUUCUCUGAGCAGGUCCCUCUUUUCCGAGACCCCCUCCAGCCCCAGUUCCCCUUCUGCUACACCACUCCUAACUCAUCCUGGUGCAACCAGACCUAUUCUGGCUCCCUAUCUAACCUCUCUGCACCGGCAGGUGGCUACUUCUGGUGUAACUUCACCCUUACAAAACAUCUUAAUAUUUCCUCUAACAAUACCCUUUCUAGAAACUUAUGCCUCCCCAUCUCUCUGGUGCCUCGACUCACUCUGUACAGCGAGGCUGAACUCUCUUCCCUUGUCAACCCGCCUAUGCGUCAGAAGCGGGCCGUUUUCCCACCGCUGGUAAUAGGUGUCUCCUUGACCUCCUCACUUGUUGCCUCCGGGCUGGGCACAGGUGCUAUUGUACAUUUCAUAAGCUCUUCCCAAGAUCUCUCUAUUAAGCUCCAGAUGGCCAUCGAAGCCUCAGCCGAAUCCUUAGCCUCUCUACAGAGACAGAUUACGUCUGUGGCCAAGGUGGCCAUGCAGAACCGGAGAGCCCUAGAUCUCCUCACAGCCGACAAAGGCGGAACCUGCAUGUUUCUCGGGGAAGAGUGCUGUUAUUACAUCAAUGAAUCAGGCUUAGUAGAAACCAGCCUCCUCACCCUUGAUAAAAUCCGGGACGGUCUCCAUCGACCCUCCUCAACUCCCAACUAUGGAGGAGGGUGGUGGCAAUCCCCUUUAACCACUUGGAUUAUCCCUUUCAUAAGCCCCAUCCUAAUCAUUUGCCUUUUACUUCUCAUAGCCCCCUGUGUCCUCAAGUUCAUCAAAAACCGCAUCAGCGAAGUCUCCCGGGUGACGGUCAACCAAAUGUUACUACACCCUUACUCCCGUCUUCCGACCUCCGAAGACCACUAUGACGACGCCCUCACUCAGCAGGAAGCAGCCAGAUGAUUACGUCGCCCCUUUUUCUUACAGUAUGAGGUCGGAAUGUUAGGCAGGUCACCCAAGAUGGCUGUUCCCCCAGGACCCAAGAUGGCGGCACGAACCCCUUCUUCCCCGCCCCCCCCACCGCUUGGAGUCUCCCACCAGAUUUUCCCGCCCGACGGGCACUUUCCGAUGACAGCAGCCCCGAGAAGUCGAAACCUAUCCCAGAAAACCGAAACUUACUAAGCCCCUCCCCACACGCUCUAUAAAAACCCUCUACUGCCCCAGUCGGGUGCGACUUCCCUGGCCCUCCUUGUUAGGACCAGUGAACCUCGCCCGAGAGCUCCAUUAAUAAAGCAGGUCGCCUCUGACCAUUAGUUACCUAAAUUCU
ensembl:lncRNA novel transcript